rnacentral:rRNA from 1 species
AUGAACGCUGGCGGCGCGCCUAACACAUGCAAGUCGAACGGCACCCCUCUCCGGAGGGAAGCGAGUGGCGAACGGCUGAGUAACACGUGGAGAACCUGCCCCCUCCCCCGGGAUAGCCGCCCGAAAGGACGGGUAAUACCGGAUACCCCGGGGUGCCGCAUGGCACCCCGGCUAAAGCCCCGACGGGAGGGGAUGGCUCCGCGGCCCAUCAGGUAGACGGCGGGGUGACGGCCCACCGUGCCGACAACGGGUAGCCGGGUUGAGAGACCGACCGGCCAGAUUGGGACUGAGACACGGCCCAGACUCCUACGGGAGGCAGCAGUGGGGAAUCUUGCGCAAUGGGGGGAACCCUGACGCAGCGACGCCGCGUGCGGGACGGAGGCCUUCGGGUCGUAAACCGCUUUCAGCAGGGAAGAGUCAAGACUGUACCUGCAGAAGAAGCCCCGGCUAACUACGUGCCAGCAGCCGCGGUAAUACGUAGGGGGCGAGCGUUAUCCGGAUUCAUUGGGCGUAAAGCGCGCGUAGGCGGCCCGGCAGGCCGGGGGUCGAAGCGGGGGGCUCAACCCCCCGAAGCCCCCGGAACCUCCGCGGCUUGGGUCCGGUAGGGGAGGGUGGAACACCCGGUGUAGCGGUGGAAUGCGCAGAUAUCGGGUGGAACACCGGUGGCGAAGGCGGCCCUCUGGGCCGAGACCGACGCUGAGGCGCGAAAGCUGGGGGAGCGAACAGGAUUAGAUACCCUGGUAGUCCCAGCCGUAAACGAUGGACGCUAGGUGUGGGGGGACGAUCCCCCCGUGCCGCAGCCAACGCAUUAAGCGUCCCGCCUGGGGAGUACGGCCGCAAGGCUAAAACUCAAAGGAAUUGACGGGGGCCCGCACAAGCAGUGGAGUAUGUGGUUUAAUUCGAAGCAACGCGAAGAACCUUACCAGGUCUUGACAUCCGAUGCAUAGUGCAGAGAUGCAUGAAGUCCUUCGGGACAUCGAGACAGGUGGUGCAUGGUUGUCGUCAGCUCGUGUCGUGAGAUGUUGGGUUAAGUCCCGCAACGAGCGCAACCCCCGCCGCGUGUUGCCAUCGGGUGAUGCCGGGAACCCACGCGGGACCGCCGCCGUCAAGGCGGAGGAGGGCGGGGACGACGUCAAGUCAUCAUGCCCCUUAUGCCCUGGGCUGCACACGUGCUACAAUGGCCGGUACAGAGGGAUGCCACCCCGCGAGGGGGAGCGGAUCCCGGAAAGCCGGCCCCAGUUCGGAUUGGGGGCUGCAACCCGCCCCCAUGAAGUCGGAGUUGCUAGUAAUCGCGGAUCAGCAUGCCGCGGUGAAUGCGUUCCCGGGCCUUGUACACACCGCCCGUCACACCACCCGAGUCGUCUGCACCCGAAGUCGCCGGCCCAACCGUCAAGGGGGGAGGCGCCGAAGGUGUGGAGGGUGAGGGGGGUG